rnacentral:rRNA from 1 species
UACGUAGGGACCAAGCGUUGUCCGGAAUCAUUGGGCGUAAAGAGCGUGUAGGCGGCUUGUUAAGUCUUGCGUGAAAUCUCGGGGCUCAACCCCGAGCGGUCGUGAGAAACUGGCAGGCUAGAGUGCGGGAGAGGAGAGUGGAAUUCCUGGUGUAGCGGUGAAAUGCGCAGAUAUCAGGAAGAACACGCGGGGCGAAGGCGGCUCUCUGGAACGCAACUGACGCUGAGACGCGGAAGGGUGGGGAGCAAACAGG